rnacentral:ncRNA from 1 species
GCUGCGCCUAGCCUGAGGCUGAUCCCCAAGGGCGAACACCGGGUACCUCUUACCCGGCUGGCGUGGCUCCUUAUAAGGGC